UUCGAAGAUAACAAAUUAACGGCAAAUAUAGGGGCUCCUACGUCUUUCCAGCCACAAUCACCACCGUGUAAGAUCGAUCCAACGGCGCAUGGAGAAGAGGCCGCGAGAUCGCUAAAAUUUUCCCCAUUUCCCGUCGCCGCCGCCGCCGCCGCCGCCGCUCGCCGGAGCUGCGCCGCCUCCCGAUCUUCCCGGUCCCUCUCCUCCCUUCCAGAAGCGGCCAAGACCAACGGCCUCGCCCCCGCUACGUGAGAUCGCUGGUGCCCUCGUAGCUCCGAUCCAGCCUCGCCCCCAAGCCAAGGAGCGAAUUCAGCGAGGCAGACAGAAGUCAAUUACUUCUGAUCUCAAUAUAAAGAUCUGGGUGGUUGGACUUGUCAGUUUUAUUUUAGGAGCCUUGUAUGGAAGUAGAUUGAUCCGAUGCAAUUAUGUUUACUUCACUUCUUCCACAGAACAUCUCCUUGCUUAUUCAGGCCUCUGUCGUUACUCCAAUUCAUCGAGCUGCUACCUCAAACAGGCUAGAGAAUUUGAACAUUAUUCAUAUGUAUAUUCAUGUAUGAAAAUUUGCAGAUUUCCAUAUAGCACAGCUGGGGAUUUAGUCUAGUGGUAAGAUAUUCGCUUAGGGAGCGAAAGGUCCCGAGUUCAAUUCUCGGAAUCCCCAAUCUGAAAUCCCUUUUGCAAUGCAUGUCAAAGUUUUUUCUUUUCCAGAGAGAGAAAUGCAUGUGAAGGCUAUCUAUAUGUUUGUAUGAUUUUCAGUGGUCUGGACUCUGGAGAGAUGAGGUUUUGGACCACAAGUUUGAUGAGGUCCUGAGGUUCAGGUAUUGUGUUUGUGCCUGAAAUGACACUAAAUGCCAGGAUUGGUAUUGCUGUUAGUUUGUACAUACUUGGCAUGUGAAGAUGCAUGUAGCACAGAGGCUCUCGCAGCAUAAUACUGUUUUUGAAUCUGAAGUUUUGAUAUUAUAGUUUGCUAUAAAAACCAAGCAAACAAAGGGCAUUUGGUCUAGUGGUAUGAUUCUCGCUUAGGGUGCGAGAGGUCCCGAGUUCAAUUCUCGGAAUGCCCCUAUUACUGUCAUUAUUUUUAUUUUUAUCUAAAAGGAAUUCCGUUCCGGAAUCGCCAAUUUCUGGUCCAAGUUCUCCCCAACUGACAGAUUUGUUUUCCCGAUUUUGUUCUUCUUUCCCCUUCUUGAUUCAUGCAAGACUUGUCAUACAUCUUGCCAAACUCUUCUCAAAUUCAUUAGUUCAUUCCAAUUUGUCAUUAAAAAAGAAAGCACAUUCUAACGUGGAUGUGAAAAGUGAAAGAUCGGUGUUUCCAUCGUCCGUCAAACAAACCGGACGAAAAAAACCAUAUCUGUCCGAUAAAAAAACCAG